UAUUGGACAAUGGGCGGAAGCCUGAUCCAGCAACGCCGCGUGAGGGAUGACGGCCUUCGGGUUGUAAACCUCUUUCAGCACAGACGAAGCGAAAGUGACGGUAUGUGCAGAAGAAGCACCGGCCAACUACGUGCCAGCAGCCGCGGUAAUACGUAGGGUGCGAGCGUUGUCCGGAAUUAUUGGGCGUAAAGGGCUCGUAGGCGGUUUGUCGCGUCGGGAGUGAAAACACACAGCUUAACUGUGUGCUGGCUUCCGAUACGGGCAGACUAGAGGUAUGCAGGGGAGAACGGAAGUCCUGGUGUAGCGGUGAAAUGCGCAGAUAUCAGGAGGAACACCGGUGGCGAAGGCGGUUCUCUGGGCAUUACCUGACGCUGAGGAGCGAAAGUGUGGGGAGCGAACA
rnacentral:rRNA from 1 species